GGGGGGGGGGCCAUAAGACAUGCAAGUCGAACGGACUUAACCAUUAGUUUACUAUUGGAGCGGUUAGUGGCGGACUGGUGAGUAACACGUAAGCAACCUGCCUAUCAGAGGGGAACAACAGUUAGAAAGGACUGCUAAUACCGCAUAUGCCUUGAGUAUCACAUGGUACAAAAGGGAAAGGAGUAAUCCGCUGAUAGAUGGGCUUGCGUCUGAUUAGAUAGUCGGUGGGGUAACGGCCUACCAAGUCGACGAUCAGUAGCCGGACUGAGAGGUUGAACGGCCACAUUGGGACUGAGAUACGGCCCAGACUCCUACGGGAGGCAGCAGUCGGGAAUAUUGCGCAAUGGAGGAAACUCUGACGCAGUGACGCCGCGUGCAGGAAGAAGGUUUUCGGAUUGUAAACUGCUUUAGACAGGGAAGAAACAAGACAGUACCUGUAGAAUAAGCUCCGGCUAACUACGUGCCAGCAGCCGCGGUAAUACGUAGGGAGCAAGCGUUAUCCGGAUUUAUUGGGUGUAAAGGGUGCGUAGACGGGAAAUUAAGUUAGUUGUGAAAUCCCUCGGCUUAACUGAGGAACUGCAACUAAAACUGAUUUUCUUGAGUGUUGGAGAGGAAAGUGGAAUUCCUAGUGUAGCGGUGAAAUGCGUAGAUAUUAGGAGGAACACCAGUGGCGAAGGCGACUUUCUGGACAAUAACUGACGUUGAGGCACGAAAGUGUGGGGAGCAAACAGGAUUAGAUACCCUGGUAGUCCACACCGUANACGAUGGAUACUAGGUGUAGGAUGUGAUAAACAUUCUGU
rnacentral:rRNA from 1 species